CUCCAAGAGACCUGCUUCAAAAGUCCAGACCCAAUGAAGUCACUCAUGACCUCACAAACCUCUAGUUUAACUCUUUAAGAGCCAGACAGCAAGCUGACAGCAGGCAGAAAAGGCAACUGUCUAAGCUUACUUGGAGUGGUUGCCGUUUAAGGGAAAGGAGACAUUUGUCCAGCACUGUUCAAAACAAAUUGUGUUUUUUCUGCUCGUGGAUGUGAAAAUAUUUAUUGUCCUGUUGGUUGUCCAAAGCCUGCUUCAGACACAUUCAGAGACCAGUAGAAUACCUGCAAAUAGAGCGUCAGGCACAGGCAUAAGAAACAGCAUAUGAGGAAUUCUUCCUAAGCGGACAAACAAUACAGAUAGAGAAAAACUGAGGAAGAAAGAGAAUAAUUUCCAAACACUACAUUCCAUUUGAGAAGGAGGAGAAAGAAAUAAGAGCAAGG